AGGUGCAGGUGGAUAUACAAUGGACAUAUUAUCAAAUACAGUGGAAACGUUUAUGAAAGAAGUGCGCAAGUUGAUGAGUAUGGAAAAUAAAAGCUAACAAUUUGUCG
rnacentral:lncRNA from 1 species